rnacentral:rRNA from 1 species
UGUUUGAUCCUGGCUCAGGAUGAACGCUAGCGGCAGGCUUAAUACAUGCCAAGUCGUACGGCAGCACGGGUAGCAAUACCUGGUGGCGAGUGGCGCACGGGUGCGUAACGCGUAUGCAACCUACCCUUAACUGAGACAUAACCUGGCGAAAGCUGGGCUAAUAUCUCAUGAGGUUAUAGAGGGGCAUCCUGAUAUAAUCAAAGCAGCGAUGUGGUUAAGGAUGGGCAUGCGUCCCAUUAGCUAGUUGGCGAGGUAACGGCUCACCAAGGCGACGAUGGGUAGGGGUUCUGAGAGGAAGGUCCCCCACACUGGUACUGAGACACGGACCAGACUCCUACGGGAGGCAGCAGUAAGGAAUAUUGGGCAAUGGUCGGAAGACUGACCCAGCCAUGCCGCGUGCAGGAAGAAGGCCCUAUGGGUUGUAAACUGCUUUAGCCAGGGGCUAAACCUACCGAUGCGUUGGUAGCUGAAGGUACCUGGAGAAUAAGCAUCGGCUA